rnacentral:rRNA from 1 species
GGACUACUCGGGUUUCUAAUCCUGUUUGCUCCCCACGCUUUCGCGCCUCAGCGUCAGUUAUGGACCAGGUCGCCGCCUUCGCCACCGGUGUUCUUCCCAAUAUCUACGAAUUUCACCUCUACACUGGGAAUUCCACGACCCUCUUCCACACUCAAGCGACAACGUAUCAAACGCAGCCCCCAGGUUGAGCCCAGGAAUUUCACGUCUGACUAUUGCCGCCGCCUACGCGCCCUUUACGCCCAGUCAUUCCGAGCAACGCUAGCCCCCUUCGUAUUACCGCGGCGGCUGGCAC